rnacentral:rRNA from 1 species
AAUGAACGCUGGCGGCAUGCCUAACACAUGCAAGUCGAACGAAGGCUUCGGCCUUAGUGGCGCACGGGUGCGUAACGCGUGGGAAUCUGCCCUUGGGUUCGGAAUAACAGUUAGAAAUGACUGCUAAUACCGGAUGAUGUCGUAAGACCAAAGAUUUAUCGCCCAAGGAUGAGCCCGCGUAGGAUUAGCUAGUUGGUGGGGUAAAGGCCUACCAAGGCGACGAUCCUUAGCUGGUCUGAGAGGAUGAUCAGCCACACUGGGACUGAGACACGGCCCAGACUCCUACGGGAGGCAGCAGUGGGGAAUAUUGGACAAUGGGCGAAAGCCUGAUCCAGCAAUGCCGCGUGAGUGAUGAAGGCCUUAGGGUUGUAAAGCUCUUUUACCCGGGAUGAUAAUGACAGUACCGGGAGAAUAAGCUCCGGCUAACUUCG